rnacentral:rRNA from 1 species
GACGAACGCUGGCGGCGUGCUUAACACAUGCAAGUCGAACGGAAAGGCCCUGCUUUUGUGGGGUGCUCGAGUGGCGAACGGGUGAGUAACACGUGAGUAACCUGCCCUUGACUUUGGGAUAACUUCAGGAAACUGGGGCUAAUACCGGAUAGGAGCUCCUGCUGCAUGGUGGGGGUUGGAAAGUUUCGGCGGUUGGGGAUGGACUCGCGGCUUAUCAGCUUGUUGGUGGGGUAGUGGCUUACCAAGGCUUUGACGGGUAGCCGGCCUGAGAGGGUGACCGGCGACAUUGGGACUGAGAUACGGCCCAGGCUGCUACGGGAGGCAGCAGUGGGAAAUAUUGACCAAUGGGCGGAAGCCUGAUGAAGAAACGCCGCGUGCGGGAUGACGGCCUUCGGGUGGUAAACCGCAUUCGCCUGUGACGAAGCGUGAGUGACGGUAAUGGGAAAAGAAGCACCGGCUAACUACGUG